UUUCCUCGCUAGGACGACAGGGGUCGUAUCCUCGGAUUCCGGUGCUCCGUUCCAGAUUCCGUUGAAGCAGCCAGGGACAUCAUGGCCGAAAACGUUCGAAAUUUUCAAGGAUUCUGGGACACUCUCUAUAGCUGCAUUGUUAUAGAGCACUAUAGAGCAAGCAAUGCUGCCGUUGUCGGUGACUCUAGCACAGGAAAGGAAGCUCGAUCAAGUCAAUGCUAGCACUGUUACAUUGAAAGGUACCACUGCCUCCUAGUCUAUGAAUUUCUCUCCUGAGGGCUUUGAUCUGCGCAGGCCCGGAGAAGAUAAGCAUCGACAAGCAAUUGCGCUGGAGAAGAAGUAUAGCAGGCUAGCAGCGCGAGGGGUGAAGUGCAGAGAAAGAAAAGGCGGAAGAACAGAGCUUGUUCUUCACGAUAAGAGCGGUCCUCGGUACUUCAAGAGCCUCGUUAAGAGGACAGUGAGAGGUCGGUGGUCUUCUUUCUUCUUCGACGCGUAACCAAGACGUACCGAGAUGGAUUUGAUAAGCACAGAUCGCUCAAGGCUGGGAUGGGCGAUCGUGGUCAUCAUCAUAACAACGAGCAGGUAUUUUUAAAAAAAUCAUGUCAUAGUAUUCUCAAUGGCCGUACGCUAUGGAGAUGAAUGUACGCAGGGAGAAUAUUCGCAACUUGCGAACUCGAGAAGAACUUAGAACUUAAGAACUUAUUGUUGCGUAAAAGCUUUCCAUGGUGUUUGAGCUUUCAAAGAGGGGAGGGAGCUUCUUUAACUGCCUUCUGCUCCUCCCAUAAAGUGGGAGCUGAAAUUUUUUGAACUCGCUUCAUUCAUUCGGUCGAUUGAUGCUCUCUGCGGGAUUUAAUGUGUCGAGUUUUUUUGAGUUUGAACGAUCCGAUGCAAAAAUGUCGCCUACGCGCAAACGUGGAUUGAUUGAUGGAUGGACUCUGAUUGAUUGAUUUAGAUUCAAACAAACUCCACACGACUCGGUUAGGAUUGUCAGCCAA